rnacentral:rRNA from 1 species
UACGAAGGGGGGCUAGCGUUGCUCGGAAUCACUGGGCGUAAAGCGCACGUAGGCGGAUCUUUUAAGUCAGGGGUGAAAUCCCAAGGCUCAACCUUGGAACUGCCUUUGAUACUGGGGGAUCUCGAGUCCGGAAGAGGUGAGUGGAACUGCGAGUGUAGAGGUGAAAUUCGUAGAUAUUCGCAAGAACACCAGUGGCGAAGGCGGCUCACUGGUCCGGUACUGACGCUGAGGUGCGAAAGCGUGGGGAGCAAACAGG